rnacentral:ncRNA from 1 species
UACAAUGGGGUGCCUGAUACGUAGCAGGCUGAGAUUAUACCCUUCGAACCUGGACAGGUAAUGCUGUCAAGGGAAAAAGAUCAUCUCCAAG